AUUGAACGCUAGCGGGACGCCUUACACAUGCAAGUCGAACGGAGUGGCGAACGGGUGAGUAAUGUAUCGGAACGUGCCCAGUAGCGGGGGAUAACGACGCGAAAGCGUAGCUAAUACCGCAUACUUUUGGAGCGGCCGAUAUCGGAUUAGCUAGUUGGUGGGGUAACGGCUAACCACGGCGACGAGCCGUAGCUGGUUUGAGCGGACGACCAGUCACACUGUGACUCAGACACAGCCCAGACUCCUACGGGAGGCAGCAGUGGGGAAUUUUGGACAAUGGGGUAACCCCUGUUCCAGCCAUCCCGCGUGUGCGAUGAAGGCCUUCGGGUUGUAAAGCACUUUUGGCAGGAAAGCGGUACCUGCAGAAUAAGCACCGGCUAACUACGUGCCAGCAGCCGCGGUAAUAC
rnacentral:rRNA from 1 species